rnacentral:lncRNA from 1 species
UCUCAAUUUAAUAUAUUUCAUUUUGCUUUUAUGAUAAUGGAGAAUGCACCAAUAUUUAAAGAGAGCACUUAAAACCAUAUUUCUCUCUUAUUUAUUUAUACAAUUUUUCUUAACAUUUGUGAAAUGAGCAAAUGACUCAAUUAAUUCGUCCGGAUUGAUUACUUUCUAGCAUCCCUGAACCACUCACUCACAAAGUAGCAUUUAUUUGAAUAAUCUCUCACUUUGCCGGAUUAUC